rnacentral:rRNA from 1 species
UGGGGAAUAUUGGGCAAUGGGCGCAAGCCUGAUCCAGCAAUGCCGCGUGUGUGAAGAAGGCCUGCGGGUUGUAAAGCACUUUCAGUAGAGAAGAAAAGCUCAAGGUUAAUACCCCUGAGUCUUGACGUAACCUACAGAAGAAGCACCGGCUAACUCCGUGCCAGCAGCCGCGGUAAUACGGAGGGUGCGAGCGUUGUUCGGAAUCACUGGGCGUAAAGGGCGCGUAGGCGGCUUGGCCAGUCAGAUGUGAAAGCCCGGGGCUCAACUCCGGAACUGCAUUUGAUACUGCCAAGCUGGAGGUCGAGAGAGGAAAGUGGAAUACCCAGUGUAGAGGUGAAAUUCGUAGAUAUUGGGUGGAACACCAGUGGCGAAAGCGGCUUUCUGGCUCGAACCUGACGCUGAGGCGCGAAAGCGUGGGGAGCAAACAGGAUUAGAUACCCCUGUAGUCC